GACAUUUGGUAGAGACUGUUGAAGCCACCUGGUCCCAGCAGACCCCAGAAGGUGGCUACAUUCGCCGGUGCUGGGGCUAGGUCGUUAAGGGUGAAGCCUGGUGCCAGAUGUGU
ensembl:rRNA 5S_rRNA 5S ribosomal RNA